rnacentral:rRNA from 1 species
ACAUGCGAGUCGAGGGGCAGCGGGAUUGAAGCUUGCUUCAAUUGCCGGCGACCGGCGCACGGGUGAGUAACGCGUAUCCAACCUUCCGUACACUCAGGGAUAGCCUUUCGAAAGAAAGAUUAAAACCUGAUGGUAUGAUGAGAUUGCAUGAUAGCAUCAUUAAAGAUUCAUCGGUGUACGAUGGGGAUGCGUUCCAUUAGGUAGUAGGCGGGGUAACGGCCCACCUAGCCUACGAUGGAUAGGGGUUCUGAGAGGAAGGUCCCCCACAUUGGAACUGAGACACGGUCCAAACUCCUACGGGAGGCAGCAGUGAGGAAUAUUGGUCAAUGGACGAGAGUCUGAACCAGCCAAGUAGCGUGAAGGAUGAAGGUCCUACGGAUUGUAAACUUCUUUUAUAAGGGAAUAAAACCUCCCACGUGUGGGAGCUUGUAUGUACCUUAUGAAUAAGCAUCGGCUAACUCCGUGCCAGCAGCCGCGGUAAUACGGAGGAUGCGAGCGUUAUCCGGAUUUAUUGGGUUUAAAGGGAGCGCAGACGGGUCGUUAAGUCAGCUGUGAAAGUUUGGGGCUCAACCUUAAAAUUGCAGUUGAUACUGGCGUCCUUGAGUGCGGUUGAGGUGUGCGGAAUUCGUGGUGUAGCGGUGAAAUGCUUAGAUAUCACGAAGAACUCCGAUUGCGAAGGCAGCACACUAAGCCGUAACUGACGUUCAUGCUCGAAAGUGUGGGUAUCAAACAGGAUUAGAUACCCUGGUAGUCCACACGGUAAACGAUGGAUACUCGCUGUUGGCGAUAUACUGUCAGCGGCUUAGCGAAAGCGUUAAGUAUCCCACCUGGGGAGUACGCCGGCAACGGUGAAACUCAAAGGAAUUGACGGGGGCCCGCACAAGCGGAGGAACAUGUGGUUUAAUUCGAUGAUACGCGAGGAACCUUACCCGG